GAGUUCCCUGUUCCUUCUUCUUUUUUUUCGUUCUUCUCUCUUUCUCUCUCAUAAGCUCCACAAACCCUCAUGCUUAACACCAAAAUUGAAGGUCAAAGCUUGUGAAUCUCGCAAAAAGGCAAGAAGAAAAUGUGAUCUACGGACAGAGGGCUACACAGCGAUUCGAACGAAAUCUCAAUUAGCCAACUUUGGUGUUCGUAGUAUUUCAGAAUUUCAACAUUUUGGAGGUUUCUCUCUCUUUUGAAGUUUAGAGAUGGAUCUGAAGGCUAAGAAUCAUGGACAUGUUCUAGUUCUUUUUUUUAGAACUUAAUAAGAUACUUGUACAUUUUUAUUUGUAAGAUCAUCGAGGCAUGUAAACUUUUACUUUAUUUUGGUAAUGUAAAUUGUAGAUUGAGAGAACGGGGCUUGGAUGUGUAUAAAAAGUAGUCUAUUUUGGAGUU